UACAGAGAGUGCAAACGUUGUUCGGAAUCACUGGGCUUAAAGAGCACGUAGGCGGCGCUACAAGUGUCGGGUGAAAUCCCACGGCUCACCCGUGGAACUGCCCGGCAGACUGUGGUGCUCGAGUGUGGUAGGGGAGAGCGGAACUCCAGGUGGAGCGGUGAAAUGCGUAGAUAUCUGGAGGAACACCGGUGGCGAAGGCGGCUCUCUGGUCCACAACUGACGCUGAGGUGCGAAAGCUAGGGGAGCAAACGGGGAUUAGAAACCCGUGUAGU
rnacentral:rRNA from 1 species